rnacentral:rRNA from 1 species
UGGCGGCAUGCCUUACACAUGCAAGUCGAACGGCAGCACGGGUACUUGUACCUGGUGGCGAGUGGCGAACGGGUGAGUAAUACAUCGGAACGUACCUUAUCGUGGGGGAUAACGCAGCGAAAGCUGUGCUAAUACCGCAUACGCCCUGAGGGGGAAAGCGGGGGAUCGAAAGACCUCGCGCGAUUAGAGCGGCCGAUGCUUGAUUAGCUUGUUGGUGGGGUAAAAGCCCACCAAGGCGACGAUCAAUAGCUGGUCUGAGAGGACAUCAGCCACACUGGGACUGAACACGGCCCCAGACUCCUACGGGAGGCACAGUGGGGAAUUUUGGACAAUGGGGGCAACCCUGAUCCAGCAAUGCCGCGUGA